rnacentral:rRNA from 1 species
UACGAAGGGGGCGAGCGUUGUUCGGAUUUACUGGGCGUAAAGGGCGCGCAGGCGGCGAGUUUUGUCAGGCGUGAAAUCCCCGGGCUCAACCUGGGAAUGGCAGUUGAGACUGUAAGGCUAGAGUGUGUCAGAGGGGGGUAGAAUUCCACGUGUAGCAGUGAAAUGCGUAGAGAUGUGGAGGAAUACCGAUGGCGAAGGCAGCCCCCUGGGACUAACACUGACGCUCAUGCACGAAAGCGUGGGGAGCAAACAGG